rnacentral:lncRNA from 1 species
UAUCUUAAAUCCCUCUACCUGGCCUGGCACAGUGGCUCAUGCCUGUAAUCCCAGCACUUUGGGAGGCUGAGAUGGGUGGAUCACUUGAGGUCAGGAGUUCAAGACCAGCCUGACCAACAUGGUGAAACCCCAUUUCUACUAAAAAUACAAAAAAUAGCCGGGCAUUAUGGUGGGCGCCAGUAAUCCCAGCUACUCGGGAGGUUGAGGCAGGAGAAUGGCUUGAACCCGGGAGGCGGAGGUUGCAGUGAGCCGAGAUCGUGCCAUUGCACUCCAG